GCAAGUCGAGCGCUUCCUUCGGGAAGAGCGGCGGACGGGUUAGUAACGCGUGGGAAUAUACCCUUCACUAAGGAAUAGCCUCGGGAAACUGAGAGUAAUACCUUAUACGCCCUUCGGGGGAAAGAUUUAUCGGUGAAGGAUUAGCCCGCGUAAGAUUAGAUAGUUGGUGGGGUAAUGGCCUACCAAGACGAUGAUGCAUAGCCGACCUGAGAGGGUGAUC
rnacentral:rRNA from 1 species